CAUCAAGGAAGGCAGCAGGCGCGCAAAUUACCCAUUCCCGACACGGGGAGGUAGUGACGAAAAAUAACAAUACAGGACUCUAACGAGGCCCUGUAAUUGGAAUGAGUACAUUCUAAAACUCUUAACGAGUAUCCAUUGGAGGGCAAGUCUGGUGCCAGCAGCCGCGGUAAUUCCAGCUCCAACAGUGUAUGCUAAAGUUGUUGCGGUUGAAAAGCUCGUAGUUGGAUUUUGGGCGGGCGCAGCCGGUCCGUCGCAGGGCGUGUUACUGGUUGCGUUCGCCUCACCUUCGGUUCUCCGUCGGUGCUCUUGACUGAGUGUCGGCGGUGGCCGAGAAGUUUACUUUGAAAAAAUUAGAGUGUUCAAAGCAGGCUGCUCGCCUGUAUAGUGUUGCAUGGAAUAAUGGAAUAGGACCUCGGUUCUAUUUUGUUGGUUUUCGGAGCGCGAGGUAAUGAUUAAGAGGGACAGACGGGGGCGUCCGUACUCUGCCGUUAGAGGUGAAAUUCUUGGAUCGGCGGAAGACGAACUACUGCGAAAGCAUUCGCCAAGAAUGUUUUCUUUAAUCAAGAGCGAAAGUCAGAGGUUCGAAGACGAUCAGAUACCGUCCUAGUUCUGACUAUAAACGAUGCCAACUAGCGAUCGGGAGGCGUUACCAUGACGACCUUCCCGGCAGCUUCCGGGAAACCAAAGUCUUUGGGUUCCGGGGGAAGUAUGGUUGCAAAGCUGAAACUUAAAGGAAUUGACGGAAGGGCACCACCAGGAGUGGAGCCUGCGGCUUAAUUUGACUCAACACGGGGAAACUCACCCGGCCCGGACACAGGUAGGAUUGACAGAUGAGAGCUCU
rnacentral:rRNA from 1 species